GAUGAACGCUGGCGGCGUGCCUAAUACAUGCAAGUCGAGCGAACGGACGAGAAGCUUGCUUCUCUGAUGUUAGCGGCGGACGGGUGAGUAACACGUGGAUAACCUACCUAUAAGACUGGGAUAACUUCGGGAAACCGGAGCUAAUACCGGAUGAUAUUUUGAACCGCAUGGUUCAAAAGUGAAAGACGGUCUUGCUGUCACUUAUAGAUGGAUCCGCGCUGCAUUAGCUAGUUGGUAAGGUAACGGCUUACCAAGGCAACGAUGCAUAGCCGACCUGAGAGGGUGAUCGGCCACACUGGAACUGAGACACGGUCCAGACUCCUACGGGAGGCAGCAGUAGGGAAUCUUCCGCAAUGGGCGAAAGCCUGACGGAGCAACGCCGCGUGAGUGAUGAAGGUCUUCGGAUCGUAAAACUCUGUUAUUAGGGAAGAACAUAUGUGUAAGUAACUGUGCACAUCUUGACGGUACCUAAUCAGAAAGCCGCGGCUAACUACGUGCCAGCAGCCGCGGUAAUACGUAGGUGGCAAGCGUUAUCCGGAAUUAUUGGGCGUAAAGCGCGCGUAGGCGGUUUUUUAAGUCUGAUGUGAAAGCCCACGGCUCAACCGUGGAGGGUCAUUGGAAACUGGAAAACUUGAGUGCAGAAGAGGAAAGUGGAAUUCCAUGUGUAGCGGUGAAAUGCGCAGAGAUAUGGAGGAACACCAGUGGCGAAGGCGACUUUCUGGUCUGUAACUGACGCUGAUGUGCGAAAGCGUGGGGAUCAAACAGGAUUAGAUACCCUGGUAGUCCACGCCGUAAACGAUGAGUGCUAAGUGUUAGGGGGUUUCCGCCCCUUAGUGCUGCAGCUAACGCAUUAAGCACUCCGCCUGGGGAGUACGACCGCAAGGUUGAAACUCAAAGGAAUUGACGGGGACCCGCACAAGCGGUGGAGCAUGUGGUUUAAUUCGAAGCAACGCGAAGAACCUUACCAAAUCUUGACAUCCUUUGACAACUCUAGAGAUAGAGCCUUCCCCUUCGGGGGACAAAGUGACAGGUGGUGCAUGGUUGUCGUCAGCUCGUGUCGUGAGAUGUUGGGUUAAGUCCCGCAACGAGCGCAACCCUUAAGCUUAGUUGCCAUCAUUAAGUUGGGCACUCUAAGUUGACUGCCGGUGACAAACCGGAGGAAGGUGGGGAUGACGUCAAAUCAUCAUGCCCCUUAUGAUUUGGGCUACACACGUGCUACAAUGGACAAUACAAAGGGCAGCGAAACCGCGAGGUCAAGCAAAUCCCAUAAAGUUGUUCUCAGUUCGGAUUGUAGUCUGCAACUCGACUACAUGAAGCUGGAAUCGCUAGUAAUCGUAGAUCAGCAUGCUACGGUGAAUACGUUCCCGGGUCU
rnacentral:rRNA from 1 species